CCGGCGACCGGCGCACGGUGAGUAACACGUAUGCAACCUGCCCUCUUCAGGGGGACGAACCUUCCGAAAGGGAGGCUAAUCCCGCGUAUAUCGGUUUCGGGCAUCCGAGAUCGAGGAAAGAUUCAUCGGAAGAGGAUGGGCAUGCGGCGCAUUAGCUAGACGGCGGGGUAACGGCCCACCGUGGCGACGAUGCGUAGGGGUUCUGAGAGGAAGGUCCCCCACACUGGUACUGAGACACGGACCAGACUCCUACGGGAGGCAGCAG
rnacentral:rRNA from 1 species